UUUACUUCGGUAAUGACGUUAGGAAAGCGAGCGGCGGAUGGGUGAGUAACACGUGGGGAACCUGCCCCAUAGUCUGGGAUACCACUUGGAAACAGGUGCUAAUACCGGAUAAGAAAGCAGAUCGCAUGAUCAGCUUUUAAAAGGCGGCGUAAGCUGUCGCUAUGGGAUGGCCCCGCGGUGCAUUAGCUAGUUGGUAAGGUAAAGGCUUACCAAGGCGAUGAUGCAUAGCCGAGUUGAGAGACUGAUCGGCCACAUUGGGACUGAGACACGGCCCAAACUCCUACGGGAGGCAGCAGUAGGGAAUCUUCCACAAUGGACGCAAGUCUGAUGGAGCAACGCCGCGUGAGUGAAGAAGGUUUUCGGAUCGUAAAGCUCUGUUGUUGGUGAAGAAGGAUAGAGGUAGUAACUGGCCUUUAUUUGACGGUAAUCAACCAGAAAGUCACGGCUAACUACGUGCCAGCAGCCGCGGUAAUACGUAGGUGGCAAGCGUUGUCCGGAUUUAUUGGGCGUAAAGCGAGCGCAGGCGGAAGAAUAAGUCUGAUGUGAAAGCCCUCGGCUUAACCGAGGAACUGCAUCGGAAACUGUUUUUCUUGAGUGCAGAAGAGGAGAGUGGAACUCCAUGUGUAGCGGUGGAAUGCGUAGAUAUAUGGAAGAACACCAGUGGCGAAGGCGGCUCUCUGGUCUGCAACUGACGCUGAGGCUCGAAAGCAUGGGUAGCGAACAGG
rnacentral:rRNA from 1 species